rnacentral:rRNA from 1 species
UACGGGGGGAGCAAGCGUUGUUCGGAUUUACUGGGCGUAAAGGGCGCGUAGGCGGCGCCGCAAGUCACUUGUGAAAUCUCCGGGCUCAACUCGGAACGGCCAAGUGAUACUGCGGUGCUAGAGUGCGGAAGGGGCAACUGGAAUUCUUGGUGUAGCGGUGAAAUGCGUAGAUAUCAAGAGGAACACCUGCGGCGAAGGCGGGUUGCUGGGCCGACACUGACGCUGAGGCGCGAAAGCUAGGGGAGCAAACAGG